UACGUAGGGGCAAGCGUUGUCCGGAAUCAUUGGGCGUAAGCGCACGUAGCGGCUCUUUAAGUCGGGGUGAAAUCCUGGAGCUCAACUCCAGACUGCCUUCGAUACUGGAGCUUGAGUUCGGGAGAGGUGAGUGGAACUGGCGAGUGUAGAGGUGAAAUUCGUAGAUAUUCGCAAGAACACCAGUGGCGAAGGCGGCUCACUGGCCCGAUACUGACGCUGAGGUGCGAAAGCGUGGGGAGCAAACAGGG
rnacentral:rRNA from 1 species